rnacentral:rRNA from 1 species
GACGAACGCUGGCGGCGUGCUUAGCACAUGCAAGUCGAACGGAAAGGCCACUUUCGGGGUGUACUGGAGUGACGAACGGGUGAGUAACACGUGAGUAGCCAACCCUUGUAUUUGAGAGAACUUACUGAAACUAGGGCGAGUUACGGAUAGGAACUCCUUCUGCAUGGAUGGGUUGGAAAGGUUCGGCGGUCGGGGCUGGACUCGCGACUUAUCAGCUUGUUGGUGGGGUAGUGGCUUACCAAGGCUUUGACGGGUAGCCGGCCUGAGAGGGUGACCGGCCACACUGGGACUGAGAUAAGGCCCAGAUUGCUACGCGAGGGAGCAGUGGGGAAUCCUGCAGAAUGGGUGGAAGCCUGAUGCAGAAACGCCGUGGGCGGGAUGACGGUCUUAGGGUUGUAAACCGCUUUCGUUCAUGACGAAGCUUUGUGUGACGGUAGUGGGUAAGGAAGCCACGGCUAACUACGUG